GAUGAACGCUGGCGGCGUGCCUAAUACAUGCAAGUCGAACGCUGAAGGAAGGAGCUUGCUCUUUCCGGAUGAGUUGCGAACGGGUGAGUAACGCGUAGGUAACCUGCCUGGUAGCGUGGGAUAACUAUUGGAAACGAUAGCUAGUACCGCAUAACAGUAGAUGUUGCAUGAUAUCUACUUAAAAGGUGCAAUUGCACCACUACCAGAUGGACCUGCGUUGUAUUAGCUAGUUGGUGAGGUAACGGCUCACCAAGGCGACGAUACAUAGCCGACCUGAGAGGGUGAUCGGCCACACUGGGACUGAGACACGGCCCAGACUCCUACGGGAGGCAGCAGUAGGGAAUCUUCGGCAAUGGACGGAAGUCGGACCGAGCAACGCCGCGGGAGUGAAGAAGGGUGUCGGAUCGUAAAGAUCUGUUGUAAGAGAAGAACGAGUGUGAGAGUGGAAAGUUCACACUGUGACGGUAUCUGACCAGAAAGGGACGGCUAACUACGUG
rnacentral:rRNA from 1 species